AGAGUUUGAUCCUGGCUCAGGACGAACGCUGGCGGCGUGCCUAAUACAUGCAAGUAGAACGCUGAAGGAGGAGCUUGCUUCUCCGGAUGAGUUGCGAACGGGUGAGUAACGCGUAGGUAACCUGCCUGGUAGUGGGGGAUAACUAUUGGAAACGAUAGCUAAUACCGCAUAACAGUAGAUGUUGCAUGACAUUUGCUUAAAAGGUGCAAUUGCAUCACUACCAGAUGGACCUGCGUUGUAUUAGCUAGUUGGUGGGGUAACGGCUCACCAAGGCGACGAUACAUAGCCGACCUGAGAGGGUGAUCGGCCACACUGGGACUGAGACACGGCCCAGACUCCUACGGGAGGCAGCAGUAGGGAAUCUUCGGCAAUGGACGGAAGUCUGACCGAGCAACGCCGCGUGAGUGAAGAAGGUUUUCGGAUCGUAAAGCUCUGUUGUAAGAGAAGAACGAGUGUGAGAGUGGAAAGUUCACACUGUGACGGUAUCUUACCAGAAAGGGACGGCUAACUACGUGCCAGCAGCCGCGGUAAU
rnacentral:rRNA from 1 species